rnacentral:lncRNA from 1 species
UUGAUGGCUGUGCCAAUGUGAAGUGCAGAGUAAAUUCUGAUUGAUUCUAAAGCUUUGAGAGGCAAUAAGAUAAGUAUUGAUAAUGGUUGGGUAGAAUGUCAUAGCUUUUAGAAUACUUGUCUAAGAAAUGCAUAAUUAUGAUGCACUUCCAAGCCCAAAGGGCGAUGGUUAAUUUAUGGAUGACAAGUGCACAGAUAUGGUCUUCAUUUACAACUGCCUCAACAUAUUAUAUAUAUAAUAAAAGGUCGUGGUAGAGAAUAGAAAGUAGUC